AUAAUAAAUUAAAGAUUUAAUCCGUAUUGAAAUUGUGGAUUAAUUAUAUUUUACUUUUUUAUUAAUGUUGAUUCAAAAACCCGUCCCUCCAAAUCCGUCUUGCCAAAAAGCCAUUUAUUUUAUUAAUAUUAAUUUUAUUAAUGACAUGACUCUGAAUUAUAAUCUAAACAUUUUAUCUAAUAACAAAUGAGUGCACCAUAUUUAUUUAAUAGGAGACUGUACCAUAUGACCCGAAUGCACUUUUAUCCAAAUCCACCAAAAAAGUCUUGCAAAAAUACUAUAGAGAUAAGAAACGAUAGUCGGUUUUGAUAGGUAUAAGAUUAGCAACUAUAUAAGUUAGCUUAAAUUAGUUAAAGAAUACAAAUUGAAAAGAUAUAUUACACUUUAUUCGAAUAUAGUAUCAAAACUUAUAUAACACAGAGAUUUGAUAAUUUUUUAAUUAUUG
rnacentral:sRNA from 1 species